CUCUAACCUUAUAGAUAAGAAGAGAGUAAAUGGAGAGGGAUACAAGACGAGUUUUUCCAAACCCUAGAAUGCAACUUAAGCAUCUCCUUGGCCUUCUCCUUGGUCUUGAGGCUACAAUCCACCUGAAGCACCAAACACAACUUGGAAACAACACCAACUUGCAGCAUCUCCUGAAGAACACUUGAAGUCCCUGAGAACCUGGACACCGAAGACAGUAUCCUCACUCCUCUAUCAGUAGCCACAUGUGAAACCCUAACUAUCUUCUUGGACACC